rnacentral:rRNA from 1 species
UGGGGAAUUUUGGACAAUGGGCGCAAGCCUGAUCCAGCCAUGCCGCGUGAGUGAAGAAGGCCUUCGGGUUGUAAAGCUCUUUCGGACGGGAAGAAGUGGCGGGCUCUAACAUAGCCUGUCGAUGACGGUACCGUAAGAAGAAGCACCGGCUAACUACGUGCCAGCAGCCGCGGUAAUACGUAGGGUGCGAGCGAUAAUCGGAAUUACUGGGCGUAAAGCGUGCGCAGGCGGUUUUGUAAGACAGAUGUGAAAUCCCCGGGCUUAACCUGGGAACUGCGUUUGGGACAGCAAGGCUGGAGUACGGCAGAGGGGGGUGGAAUUCCACGUGUAGCAGUGAAAUGCGUAUAGAUGUGGAGGAUCGCCGAUGGCGAAGACAGCCCCCUGGGCCUGUACUGAGGCUAAUGCACGAAAGCGUGGGGAGCAAACA